rnacentral:rRNA from 1 species
UACGUAGGGUGCGAGCGUUAAUCGGAAUUACUGGGCGUAAAGCGUGCGCAGGCGGUUUUGUAAGCCAGAUGUGAAAUCCCCGGGCUUAACCUGGGAAUGGCAUUUGGGACUGCAAGGCUGGAGUGCGGCAGAGGAGACUGGAAUUCCUGGUGUAGCAGUGAAAUGCGUAGAUAUCAGGAGGAACACCGGUGGCGAAGGCGGCGAUCUGGGUCGAUACUGACGCUGAGGUGCGAAAGCGUGGGGAGCAAACAGG